rnacentral:rRNA from 1 species
GAUAGGUUAAGAGCUGAUUAACUGGACGUUACCCACAGAAGAAGCACCGGCUAACUCCGUGCCAGCAGCCGCGGUAAUACGGAGGGUGCGAGCGUUAAUCGGAAUUACUGGGCGUAAAGGGUGCGUAGGUGGUUGAUUAAGUUAUCUGUGAAAUUCCUGGGCUUAACCUGGGACGGUCAGAUAAUACUGGUUGACUCGAGUAUGGGAGAGGGUAGUGGAAUUUCCGGUGUAGCGGUGAAAUGCGUAGAGAUCGGAAGGAACACCAGUGGCGAAGGCGGCUACCUGGCCUAAUACUGACACUGAGGCACGAAAGCGUGGGGAGCAAACAGGAUUACUGACACUGAGGCACGAAAGCGUGGGGAGCAAACAGGAU